rnacentral:rRNA from 1 species
UUCCGGUUGAUCCUGCCGGACCUGACUGCUAUCGGAUUGAUACUAAGCCAUGCGAGUCCAAGGCAGACGGCUCAGUAACACGUAGUCAAUCUACCCUAUGGACGGGGAUAACCUCGGGAAACUGAGAAUAAUACCCGAUAGAUCAUUAUGCCUGGAAUGGUUUAUGGUUCACGCCAUAGGAUGGGACUGCGGUCUAUCAGCUUGUUGGUGAGGUAAUGGCCCACCAAGGUUAUAACAGAUACGGGCUCUGAGAGGAGAAGCCCGGAGAUGGGUACUGAGACACGGACCCAGGUCCUAUGGGGCGCAGCAGGCGAGAAAACUUUGCAAUGUGCGAAAGCACGACAAGGUUAAUCCGAGUGUUUCACUGACGAAUAAGGGGUGGGCAGGUGUCGGCCGCCGCGGUAAAACCAGCACCUCAAGUGGUCAGGAGGAUUAUUGGGCCUAAAGCAUCCGUAGCCUGCUCUGUAAGUUCUCGGUUAAAUCUAUAUGCUCAACAUAUAGGCUGCCGGGAAUACUGCAGAGCUAGGGAGUGGGAGAGGUAGAUGGUACUCGGUAGGAAGGGGUAAAAUCCUUUGAUCUAUUGAUGACCACCUGUGGCGAAGGCGGUCUACUAGAACACGUUCGACGGUGAGGGAUGAAAGCUGGGGGAGCAAACCGGAUUAGAUACCCGGGUAGUCCCAGCUGUAAACUAUGCAAACUCAGUGAUGCACUGGCGCAGUGCAGUGCCGCAGGGAAGCCGUUAAGUUUGCCGCCUGGGAAGUACGUACGCAAGUAUGAAACUUAAAGAAUUGGCGGGGGAGCACCA